ACCUAAAGGGAUGGGCAGAAUGACCCAGCCAACUUGCUCUUCCAGGAAAACUUCAGGAUGGAAAACAGCUCCUGCUUCAUCCUGAGGAUCUUAUUCAUUUGCUACCAGGAUCAGCAUACGCUUUUUACCCAAGGGUUCAAAAUACGGAGGCCGCAUUGUGUCCAUGGAUGGGAGCAUGGAAAGAAACCUUUAAAAGCUGGACCAAGAAAGGAAAGA